rnacentral:siRNA from 1 species
AAGAGAAGAGAAUGUGAGC